rnacentral:rRNA from 1 species
UAACCGGAUUAGAUACCCUGGUAGUACACGCAGUAAACGAUGAGAACUAGCUGUCCGGGCACAUGGUGUUUCGGUGGCGCAGCUAACGCAUUAAGUUGUCCGCAUGGGGAGUACGGUCGCAAGAUUAAAACUCAAAGGAAUUGACGGGGGCGUGCACAAGCGGUGGAGCAUGUGGUUUAAUUCGAAGCAACGCGCAGAACCUUACCAGCCUUUGACUUCCUGGUCGUGGAUUAGAGAGAUAUUUUCCUUCAGUUCGGCUGGACCAGUGACAGGUGCUGCAUGGCUGUCGUCAGCUCGUGUCUUGAGAUGUUGGGUUAAGUCCCGCAACGAGCGCAACCUUCGUCUUUAGUUGCCAUCAUUCAGUUGGGAACUCUAAGGAAACCGCCGGUGAUAAGCCGGAGGAAGGUGGGGAUGACGUCAAGUCCUCAUGGCCCUUACAGGCUGGGCUACACACGUGCUACAAUGGCGGUGACAGUGGGCAGCUAUCCCGCAAGGGUGAGCUAAUCUCCAAAAGCCGUCUCAGUUCGGAUUGUCCUUUGCAACUCGAGGGCAUGAAGGCGGAAUCGCUAGUAAUCGCGGAUCAGCAUGCCGCGGUGAAUACGUUCCCAGGCCUUGUACACACCGCCCGUCACGCCAUGGGAGUUGGUUUCACCCGAAGAUGGUGCGCUAACCCGCAAGGGAGGCAGCCAGCCACGGUGGGAUCAGCGACUGGGGUGAAGUCGUAACAAGGUAACCA